UGAGGAAUAUUGGUCAAUGGGCGAGAGCCUGAACCAGCCAAGUAGCGUGCAGGAUGACGGCCCUAUGGGUUGUAAACUGCUUUUAUAUGGGAAUAAAGUGAGGGACGUGUCCCUUAUUGCAUGUACCAUACGAAUAAGGACCGGCUAAUUCCGUGCCAGCAGCCGCGGUAAUACGGAAGGUCCAGGCGUUAUCCGGAUUUAUUGGGUUUAAAGGGAGCGUAGGCUGUUUGUUAAGCGUGUUGUGAAAUGUAAGAGCUCAACUUUUAGAUUGCAGCGCGAACUGGCAGACUUGAGUGCGCAUAACGUAGGCGGAAUUCAUGGUGUAGCGGUGAAAUGCUUAGAUAUCAUGACGAACUCCGAUUGCGAAGGCAGCUUACGGGAGCGCAACUGACGCUAAAGCUCGAAGGUGCGGGUAUCGAACAGG
rnacentral:rRNA from 1 species